GAUGAACGCUGGCGGCGUGCCUAAUACAUGCAAGUCGAGCGAACAGACGAGGAGCUUGCUCCUCUGACGUUAGCGGCGGACGGGUGAGUAACACGUGGAUAACCUACCUAUAAGACUGGGAUAACUUCGGGAAACCGUAGCUAAUACCGGAUAAUAUAUUGAACCGCAUGGUUCAAUAGUGAAAGACGGUUUUGCUGUGACUUAUAGAUGGAUCCGCGCCGCAUUAGCUAGUUGGUAAGGUAACGGCUUACCAAGGCAACGAUGCGUAGCCGACCUGAGAGGGUGAUCGGCCACACUGGAACUGAGACACGGUCCAGACUCCUACGGGAGGCAGCAGUAGGGAAUCUUCCGCAAUGGGCGAAAGCCUGACGGAGCAACGCCGCGUGAGUGAUGAAGGUCUUCGGAUCGUAAAACUCUGUUAUUAGGGAAGAACAAAUGUGUAAGUAACUAUGCACGUCUUGACGGUACCUAAUCAGAAAGCCACGGCUAACUACGUG
rnacentral:rRNA from 1 species